CUAAAAUAUUAAUUAGACUAAAAUUAUAAAUAUGACUCAAAUAGGCUUAUUAAAAUAAGAUAAAUCCUAAUAAAGUACUAAAUAAUAAAUUAAUUGUAAAUUUAGAAUUCCUAAUUUAUUCUAUCAUGUUUGCUUCCUAUAUUAAUCUCCUUCUCUUUGUAAAAAGCUUGUCCUUGAGUUUUGCUAAAAAUAAAGGACAAUUUGGAGAAUGAAACUUGUAGUGAAGGAGUAAAUAAUCUUGUAAUUUGAACACAUAGUGCUUUGCAUCAACUUUUAUUGAAACUCAAAAUGCUCCACAUUUCAUAUUUUUUUCUUAAUCUUGUUAGUCGCCCUAUAAAAGGUUAAAGUCUUGUACAAACGAAUAACUUCCAAGUCUCUCAAGUCUUUUGCCAAAUCUCGCUCAAUGUUCUGGCCAUUUAACUUUAUCUUGGUAACCAUAUCUUCUUCAAAAAUAACUUUCUUGUCUCUGCUAUGAAUGAUCUCUGCAUGAUCUUUUUUAAGCAUAUGCUUUUGUCAUCAACUUGAUUUGAUGAACUCAUAUCAAUCAUAUUACCCAUUAUAAUGAUCGAUGCCUCUUUAACUUGAGUUUCUUGAACUUAAUUGUACCACUCAACUUAGUGCUCAAAUUAGGAUAAGAAAUUACCUCAUCUUGUGUAAUUUUAGGCUCGCGUUCAAUUAUUUUAUGAUUCUCAUAAGCAUAUCUUUGUCUAAGUUAACAUUCUAAUAAUGAUUGUUAGAGUGCAAUUUAUGCACUAGUUUUGCAUUGUUUACUUCCCUUAAUAUCGAUGUUUUGCACUUAAUAAUAGUGAUUUACUUGUGUUUUACUUUUGUAGGUGCAAUUCUAUUGAUUGGUGAUAAAAUUGAGCUAUAAGAUGAUGUUUAAGGAUGAUUGUUCUCUUGGAGAAAUUUAGAGAGUCAGAAGAACUUUGUUGAUAAGGCGUGGGCGCGUGCUGUCAACUGCAAACCUGCAGUUUUUAGUUUAACGUAUUUUGUAUUUUUGGUUAUUUUUGUAAUUACGAAUUUAAUAUUUCAGAUAUUAGUAUUUUAUUUUAAAUAGAAUUCUAGAGGAGAAGAGAGAGAGAGUAUUUAAGGGAGGAAUCAAUUGUGAAAAAGGGGGAUUUGGAUUGGAGGAAAAGAAAGAAACCCUAGAUCUAAUUUUUCUCUUCUCUUUAUGAAGAACUAAACUUAUUUUUCUGGUUGAAGGAUAAUGAAGCUUUGAUUCAUCACUACUGUGAGAUCUUUCUUAUGUUUUAAUUGUUUUAUUACUUUUUGGGUAUUUGUUUAUUCUCUGAAUUAGUUUCAUGAUUAUGUUUGUUAAUUAGGUAAUUGGCCACUAUUUAAUUAUCAACUUAAUCUAUUGUCAAUUAAAGGAUUCAUCGUAUGAAGAAUUUAAUGUUUGUGACAAAUAACAUAGCAGAGAGUUGUGUUGUGAGAAUAAACAAUCUAAUUUAAAUGAAUCAUUAUAUGUGUUGAUUAGGAUUUGGGUCUCUUUGGUUUUUCAGGCUGUCAAUUGAUUAAAUCCUAUGAUCGUAUCUAGGGUUGUCUAUUGAUUAGGGAAAUAACCAACGGUCGUACCUUGGUUAUCGACUAGUUAAGGAGAGAUUGGCUAUUAGAGGGUCUCAGUAGCUAUAACCGGUCUAUUCAUAAGUAAUAAUAGUAAUCUAUAUUUGAAUCAAUGAUCAGUAGUCGAAUCAAGCUGAGUUAAUUCCUUCAACCAGAGCUUUCUCCAAUUUGAAUUACAACUUUAAUUUGCAUUCUUGUUAUUUUAAUUUGAUUUUUAUUAUUGUCAACAAUUCCCCCAUUUUACGUUUUACGUUUCAAAAGGAUUUAAAUAAUUACCGAUCUCUGUGGACACGACCCUGCUCAAUCACUAUACACAAUUUAUUUAGAGUAGGAAUUUAUUUUUGUUGGCUUCGACACCCAUCAAUGAUUCUUCAGAUUCUUCCGUUAAACUCUCCAAUGCCUCAAUCAAAUGUUGCACCAAUCGCAAUGCCUUCAUUGAAACUUACAAUGCCUUUGAUGAUCCUUCAAGAUUCUUUAUUGUAUGAGCUUCAAAACUUUCCCUAGAAACCAUUUUUUUUUAAUUGUCUCUUCUUUUUUGGUUUUUUAUAAUAACAGAAAAUUAUAGGAAAAUAUUAUGAUUAAAAGAAAACAUAAGGUCAAAAUUGCAAAUAAGUAAAAGAUGGUGUUGUCGGCGAUGUUAAUCAAAAAGAGGACGAGGAAGGGUGGAUCUCGAAUAGUUGAGAUCAAUCAAUAUGAUAGUGGUGGUGGUUUGACUUGGAUCGUAAUUGUUUGAUUGGAAAAUUAAAGUAAGGUGGCAGUUAGAGGUUUGGUUUAGGUUUUCGGUGAACGGAGUAGCAACUAGAAGUUGGUCUGGUUUGGAAAGAGAGAGUUGAUAAUGAGGAAUAAUUUGGUAGUGGCAAAGGUCGAUGAAUUACAGCGGAGGGCAGCAAAUCGAGUGACGGUGUUAGUGGUAGUUUAGUAGCUGGUUGGGUGGCAUUAGGUUGGUUACACCGUCGAAUCGGUGGUAUUGAUGGCUAGGGUAUGGUUGGCAGUGUGUGAGUGUUCGGAUGGUGGUGGAGAUUGAUGGAAAAGAAGAAGAACAAUAGCAUCAAUGGCUGUGAAGGUGGUUUUUUUUUUCCUAUUUUGAUGGAAUUAAUGGAUGAUGGAGGAAGGAUUUGUGUGUGAAGGGUGGUUGGUGGAUAGGAAAGCUCUAGUCGGCAUAGAGAGGUUGCAAUACUACUUGACACAAUGUGAAAGCGAUACUCAAUGUCACUCUACCAUACGUUCUUGAAACUAAAAAAAUAAUGGUUCUCAAAGAUAGAAAACGUUGGAUUAACGAUAAAUAUAAAUUUAAAGGGAAUGAUUUGAAAUAUUAUUAAUGAAAAGCUUCUAUAUUAAAAUUCUAAUUGAAUUAAAAUUACAAAUACAACUUAAAUAAGCUUACUAAAAUAAGAUAAAUUUUAAUAAAAUACUAAUUACUAAAUUAACUCUAAAUCUAAAAUUCAUAAUUUAUUUUAUCCUAUAUGCUUCCUACAUUAAGUUUUAAAACAAAGAAAAAUAGCUCAAUUGACUUUGAAAAUCCUUAAUUCCUUGGUUCAAAAGUCUAAUUCUUUAUAAUUUAAUUAGUUACCUUUAUUUGUAAAAGUAUCCUAAUAAGUAACAACGUAGUUUUUAUUUGAAGAGAAAAGACAAAAAAGUAAUCAUUAAAAAAGAAAGAAUGCUUUUUUUUUUUUAUUAGUGCUUUCGUCUUCCAAAACAAACAACAAAUAUAAAUAAACAAUAUAUUAUGGCUGUCAAUUCGCACCAUCAUAUCUUAUUUAUGUCAUGUUAAAUUUAAAGCAAUGUGGAUAUAACUUAUUUAUUAAUUAUGUUAGAAAAUCAAAAUACAGAUACAACUGUGUAUUAAACGUUUCUAAACAUGCUGGCACAUUUAGCAAAAUAAAUAUUAAAAAAUAAAAAUUAAUUCAAAAUAUGACAAAUAUGUCAAUAUUUUCUUAAAUAAGUUAUAAAUGGAUUGACAAUAUGGCAUGAAUAUGAUAUGAAAAUUUAAUUUAAGGAUUAUUACAUAUUCUUUGUUCAUUUCAAUACCAUUUUUACAUAGUAAUUGAUAUUCAUAUCAUAAACGUUAUUUAGAAGGUCUAACACAGAUAAAAUAGUAUUUUAACAAAUGAAAAGUGAGAGAUUUUAACAAAACUUCAAAACUCAUCUUAGUUUGUAUUGUCUUUGUUGAUGCAUUUGAUAUGUUUAGUCUUUGAUAAAAUUUAUGAUAGUGGAUAUUGUAAUUCUUACCAAGAGAAUUUCAGAAGAAAUAUAUUGACACAAUAUUUGAUAAACUUUGAAUUCUCUGAAUUUUCAGCAAACAACAAGAACUAUAAUGUUAAUAAUCAAAUAAACACGUAUCUGUCAUUAAAAAUACUUUUGUGUUGGAUCCAAUUGUGAAAACACAAAAAAAGAAGAAACUAGAGGUAUGCCUAGGGAUGGCAAUGGGCACCGCCCGCAGCGGGUUUGUCAUUACCAAACCCAAACCUGCACAAAAUUUAAAUUACCAAACCCACCCGCAACUCGCAGUGGGUUUUAAUUUUUUUACAAAAAUCCACCCGCAGCGGGUUUUAACAAUUACCAAACCCGCAAUGGUAUCCGGCGGAUUUUUUGUGGAUUUCUGUAUUUAAAAUCACAAAUAUUUAGUAUAUAAAUUUAUAAUAAUAACUUCAAAUUUUAUAUAACAUACUCAAUUUUAUAUUUAAAUAAUGUAAAUGAAAAAUUAAAAUUUCCACAUCAAUUCAACACAAAUUCUUAAAUUUAAGUAUAAAUUACACAAAUCCAUUUAAAAAACACAAACUAGUAUCUAAAAAUAAUAAUUACAUUUUAUAUUAUCAUUUAAAACAAGCUCCAAGAGAAGAUAUUCAUUUCAUUCACCACCAUAAGCACCCAUCCAACACAAUGCCUAUAAUAAUAAUUAAGAUUAAUAUUUUCAAAUACUAAUUCGAAAGAAAAUGCCUUUAGUUUUCUUUAGAUUAUGACUUUAGAAUAUGAUAUAGGCCACAUACACACAUACACACAUACACAACUUUAAGCCUUCGGCUAUUUGGUAAUUUAAUUAAUAACAUUAUUUUCUUUAUAUAUUUUUAGAUUAAAAUUAAAUUAAAAAUAUUUGAAAAAAAUAUUACGGGUUUGGUGGAUAUCCAUGCGGGUAUCCACCGGAUAUAAGGUUAAUACCAAACCCACUCACAUUCAUGUGCGGGUUUUAAUUUAUAAUACUAAACUCGCCCGCAACGGGUAAAAUUAUCCGUAACGAACGGAUUUUAGCAGGUGAAUUUGGGCGAAUUUAUGGAUUUGCGGGUACAAUUGCCAUCCCUAGGUAUGCCCAACUGCUGCACAGCGCAUAGAAACCGUAUCUUUCAUUUAACACCUAGUACUUCACUAAAUUAAUAAUGGAACUUUUGCUUGUUGGGUCCUGUACAGGUACCUAACUGUAAAUUUCAUAAAAAUUCAAGAAAAGCGGCUAUAAAUUUCGUUACAAACGACAAAAACGGUAAUAUAAAAAUAUCAAAGGAAUAAAAGGUUCUAUUGUUACGAAUCCUUAUUUAAUUUCCAAAUAUUGAUAAUAUUCAAUACUAAAUGUCGUUUAAUGAAAAUGGCUAUUUAAUUUGUCCAAAUA
rnacentral:lncRNA from 1 species